rnacentral:rRNA from 1 species
AUUGAACGCUGGCGGCAUGCCUUACACAUGCAAGUCGAACGGUAACAGGUCUUCGGAUGCUGACGAGUGGCGAACGGGUGAGUAAUACAUCGGAACGUGCCUAGUAGUGGGGGAUAACUACUCGAAAGAGUGGCUAAUACCGCAUGAGAUCUACGGAUGAAAGCAGGGGAUCGCAAGACCUUGUGCUACUAGAGCGGCCGAUGGCAGAUUAGGUAGUUGGUGGGAUGAAAGCUUACCAAGCCGACGAUCUGUAGCUGGUCUGAGAGGACGAUCAGCCAAACUGGGACUGAGACACGGCCCAGACUCCUACGGGAGGCAGCAUUGGGGAAUUUUGGACAAUGGGCGCAAGCCUGAUCCAGCAAUGCCGCGUGCAGGAUGAAGGCCUUCGGGUUGUAAACUGCUUUUGUACGGAACGAAAAGCCCUGGGUUAAUACCCUGGGGUCAUGACGGUACCGUAAGAAUAAGCACCGGCUAACUACGUGCCAGCAGCCGCCGUAACAC